GCCAUGAUCGUAUAGUGGUUAGUACUCUGCGCUGUGGCCGCAGCAACCUCGAUUCGAAUCCGAGUCACGGCA
rnacentral:tRNA from 2 species